UGACUUGCCCAAGGUCAUACAGGUGGAAAGUGAUAGAACCAGGAUAUGAACUAAAGUCAUAGGAGCAUAUACUUUGGACUAGAAGUGACUGUAGAGGUCAUCUAUUCUAACUUCUUUUUUUUUCAGAAGAGUAAGCUGAGUCCCAGAGAGAAGAAGCAAUUUCCCUAUGGUCACCCAGCUGGAUUAUACCACCACCUCAUGGGGUUGUCAUCUGGGGAGCUAAGAAGGCAGAGAUUGUAACCCUUAAUAUUCCCUGAAUAUAUAUCCAUCGCAAAUGCUGAAUGUAAAAAGUAUAUGAAGAUUGUUACCCAUACAGGUAGGAAUAAUCAUUAUGACCUCAUCCUUUUCAAAGAGUAAUAACAGUAACAAGAAGA
rnacentral:lncRNA from 1 species